UACGUCAUCGCUGAAUGGAAGACG
rnacentral:miRNA from 1 species